rnacentral:rRNA from 1 species
GUGGGGAAUUUUGGACAAUGGGCGCAAGCCUGAUCCAGCAAUGCCGCGUGCAGGAAGAAGGCCUUCGGGUUGUAAACUGCUUUUGUACGGACCGAAACGGUCCUGGCUAAUAUCCGGGGCUAAUGACGGUACCGUAAGAAUAAGCACCGGCUAACUACGUGCCAGCAGCCGCGGUAAUACGUAGGGUGCGAGCGUUAAUCGGAAUUACUGGGCGUAAAGCGUGCGCAGGCGGUGCUGUAAGACAGGCGUGAAAUCCCCGGGCUCAACCUGGGAAUUGCGCUUGUGACUGCAGUGCUGGAGUGCGGCAGAGGGGGAUGGAAUUCCGCGUGUAGCAGUGAAAUGCGUAGAUAUGCGGAGGAACACCGAUGGCGAAGGCAAUCCCCUGGGCCUGCACUGACGCUCAUGCACGAAAGCGUGGGGAGCAAACAGGAUUAGAUACCCCUGUAGUCC